GAAAUAUUAGUUCUGCAACUGCAUCAGGCAUGAGCUUGGGAAACUGGCUUAUGUGUAUUCUAAGGCCAAGGGCUGGGGAGAGUUAAAAGCCUUAGAUGGGAAUGACAAGGAGAUGACAGCUGGCCCCAACAGUCUCUUCCCCUGCCACAGAGACAUGCUGGUGAGGAACAGAAAGGAGAAGACCCCAACUGACAAGCCCAGCACGUUCCCACCAGGAAGCAAACACCAGAUGCUACAUUUCCCCAUCAGUUUCAUGGCAA
rnacentral:lncRNA from 1 species